UCGACGGUGACGGAGGAGCUUGCUCCCCCUGAUCAGUGGCGAACGGGUGAGUAACACGUGAGUAACCUGCCCCAGACUCUGGGAUAACAUCGGGAAACCGGUGCUAAUACCGGAUAUGAGACGAGACUGCAUGGUCAUCGUCUGGAAAGAUUUAUCGGUCUGGGAUGGACUCGCGGCCUAUCAGCUAGUUGGUGAGGUAAUGGCUCACCAAGGCGACGACGGGUAGCCGGCCUGAGAGGGCGACCGGCCACACUGGAACUGAGACACGGUCCAGACUCCUACGGGAGGCAGCAGUGGGGAAUAUUGCACAAUGGGCGCAAGCCUGAUGCAGCAACGCCGCGUGGGGGAUGAAGGCCUUCGGGUUGUAAACCCCUUUUAGCAGGGAAGAAGCGAAAGUGACGGUACCUGCAGAAAAAGCGCCGGCUAACUACGUGCCAGCAGCCGCGGUAAUACGUAGGGCGCAAGCGUUGUCCGGAAUUAUUGGGCGUAAAGAGCUCGUAGGCGGUUUGUCGCGUCUGCUGUGAAAGUCCGAGGCUCAACCUCGGAUCUGCAGUGGGUACGGGCAGACUAGAGUGUGGUAGGGGAGACUGGAAUUCCUGGUGUAGCGGUGGAAUGCGCAGAUAUCAGGAGGAACACCAAUGGCGAAGGCAGGUCUCUGGGCCAUAACUGACGCUGAGGAGCGAAAGCGUGGGGAGCGAACAGGAUUAGAUACCCUGGUAGUCCACGCCGUAAACGGUGGGCACUAGAUGUGGGGCUCUUUCCAUGAGUUCCGCGUCGCAGCUAACGCAUUAAGUGCCCCGCCUGGGGAGUACGGCCGCAAGGC
rnacentral:rRNA from 1 species